rnacentral:rRNA from 1 species
GACGAACGCUGGCGGCGUGCCUAACACAUGCAAGUCGAACGGAGAUAUGAUUUCGGUUGUAUCUUAGUGGCGAACGGGUGAGUAACGCGUGAACAACCUGACUCUAAGAGGGGGAUAACACUCGGAAACGGGUGCUAAUACCGCAUAGGACCACGACCUGGCAUCAGGAUGAGGUCAAAGGAGCAAUCCGCUGAGAGAGGGGUUCGCGUCCCAUUAGAUAGAUGCGGGGUAACGGCCCACCAUGUCAACGAUGGGUAGCCGAGCUGAGAGGCUGAUCGGCCACACUGGAACUGAGACACGGUCCAGA